GACGAACGCUAGCGGCGUGCAUAACACGAUGCAAGUCGAACGAUGAAGAAGAGAAUGGAGACGUUCGGUCGAAAGUUCGGCUUCGGAUUAGUGGCAGACGGGUGAGUAACGCGUGAGCAACCUACCUCUUACAAAGGGAUAGCCAUGGGAAACCGUGAUUAAUACCAUAUGAUACAAUAACAAGGCAUCCUGAGAUUGUUAAAGCUCCGGCGGUAAGAGAUGGGCUCGCGUCCCAUUAGCUAGUUGGUGAGGGUAACGGCCCACCAAGGCAACGAUGGGUAGGGGAACUGAGAGGUUUAUCCCCCACAUUGGUACUGAGACACGGACCUA
rnacentral:rRNA from 1 species